rnacentral:lncRNA from 1 species
CGGCAGAUUUCGCACAGUUUGAAACUGCAGGGAUGUUUUUGCUUUUGUAGCACUUCUAUAUUACCACCCACGCCCCUAGGGCUGCUCUUUGAGCUUGCCACAGCAGAGAGAGAGGUAAGGGAGGUUCCUCUACCACCCCAUUUGGAUUUGAUCCCUUUGUUGGCUUGGAUUUUGGUGGAUUUACUCUUCUUUUUGCCUUUUUUGCUAUUUCCUCCAUGGUAGAGAGCUUGGUGCUUGGAGUUGAGCUUGGUUUGAGGAAGAUCACCACUUCUAAAGGGUUUUGAUCCUUGUUUUGGAGCUUCUAGAAGGUAAGCAACAUUUCCUUUCCCCUAGAAUUGGGUUUUGGUGUUCUCUACUAGAUGGAACACUAGAAUGAGAGAUUAGGGUUGUUUUCGGGGCUUUUUUAUUAGAGGCUUUUGGAACCAAUCUAAUGGGAUUAGAACUUUGGAAUAGGUUCGUUUGAAUGUGAUUUGCCCUUCCUUUGAGCUUUGGAGAGGGAUUUCUACAAUUGAGGUGAGUUUUGGCCCUUUUUGCUUCUAGGUUAAUGUUUGAUAUUAUAAGAUGAUCGUAAUGCCCGUGUAUCUUUUCGCUCAAUACUUUUAGGGUAUUUUGAGAGUCGGGGACAACUUUGUUCGACGAAACGAGGCACUACGCGACGGUUCGGUGGGUUUGACCUAGCCUACAUAUGAGAAAUUCUCAUA